CUCUCUCCCACGCCUCAUCUUUUUCCUAAUAUUUUAUUACUUUUUUCCCUCAUUCAUGCUGGUUCCUUAUUCUCUCUCUCUACCCACUCACCACCAUCAGACACCACUUCCUUACAUUUUUAUUAAAAUGUAUUUUUAAUCUCUCACUCUCUUUCUUCUUCUUCAUUUCUGCAACCUCAACUCUCCUUCUAACUCCCGAACCCUCUCUCUAGCUCCAUCAAAACCAGCCACCACCAGCACUCGUUCCUUCACAAAUUUAACCCCAAAUCUUGAUCUUUCGAACCUUUGGGACAUAGGGAACACGACCGCAGCUUUGCAUGCAGUAUCAGAGCAACUCCGAGUGCUCUGCCAUUGAAGACCCGAGAGCUUCGAGCUCUCACCUUCAAUCUCAGCCCCGCCAUCCUCUGCAUAUGCAUGCUCAAUCCCGACAUCAAACUCCCGCAAGACUUCCGUCGAGUUCGUGAGUGGUGGCACUCAGGCUCUCUUAGAAUCGAUCCCAGGAUUUUAGUGGCAGAUGUUUCAAGACGACGAGGAUUGUUGGCAAAAGUUGUUAUGUAUGAGACUUCCAUUUUCGUUCUCAUUUGCAGUCAGAGUAUGCCAACAACGGUGUACAAAGGUGAUGUUGGAGACUGAUGGGAAUUGCUCCAACGAUGGGUCCUUAUGGAGGGGAGUACAUGGGAGAUUUUGGAGACAGUUAACGCUUCUUGUACUCGGCUCCAAGAGAUGAAGCACUCUCAAAAAGAAUUUUCUAUUCGCUUACUUUGUCCAACUGCAUAUAUCGGAGGUGUGAUUGGAAAGUGUGGUAUACCAUAAUUAACCAAAUCAGACAGGUUCUGGGGCUGUCAUUAAAGUCAAUGGUUGAGCUACUGAAAGAGAUGAUUGCUUAAUACUGUAUUAGCAAAGCAGUUAUUUGAAGACACAUUCUCAGCAUCUGUAGAAGCAGCAGUGGGUUUGCAACCCAGAUGCAGCGAAAAAGUAGAAAGAAAUUUAGGAAUUGUCUCAUCACAACCCGUUUACUUAUUCCAACCUCACGAUUGGCUGCCUAAUUGGGAAAGGUGGAGCUAUUGUAACUGAGAUGAGCAAACCAAUUUUUCUUACCAAUCACAAAAACUAGUAUCAAGUUAAAGAAUAGAAAAUAAAAUAAUGGAAUUGUUUGAUA